rnacentral:lncRNA from 1 species
CAGAACAGUAGAUCAUCCUUACCAUGGUUAGAACGAGAGUGCGGUUGUAGUCUUCUCUAUACAUCGCUCACAUCGAAUCACAUUGUUUGUAGCCUAAAGGGUAGUAGCAAUAGAUUUGGUUAGUCAGAUGCACGCUUUCUCCCAGUGGUAAAAAUAUAAAUACGAUACUCUGGAUAACCUUCCGGGUGAAGUGCUCACCGAUAUCCGUGCGCUUGCGGAUCAUUUCCUGAUGGCGUUAACAAAUAUCAACAAGCAUUUCUGGCGCCGUUGCCGGGGAGAAAGACGGUUUGCUGAGAUAACUUUGAGUCUUGCUAUUAUCUUGUAUUAUACUUUUAUACUUUUAUACUUUUAUUCUUUUAUCUUUUUAUUUUUUCCAUCUUUAUGGAUAACUCAAAUUCCACACCUAUUAUUGAAUUCUUUGCACCUUCGGAGACCAGCCAUAGACCAUGGGAGUCAACAAGUCCUUUCUUUGCCCCUAAUUAUGAUCUGUGUCCAGAGUCAAUUGCGAUAGGUCAAAACCAACCCUUUUCUAUAGCCGAGGUCCUAUCUUUUAAUCAAGAAGAUAAUGAACUUUUAGCUAGACUUAGGGAAUCUUCUAAUCUUUCUAUAAAUUCUGGUUUAGACCUAGCCCUACAAGACCAUGUUUUUCCUCGAUAUUUUCGCAUUGGUCUUAAUCAUAUAACGUUUGGUAGAGUUUUUCUUUCUUUAUCUAGUAAAGCAAGGUAUAUCUUCAUUCGUGGACAUCCUUCUUGCACUAGUCUUCAUAAAAAAAUCCUAGAGAUAGAGAAGGAAUCAUCUCCCAAACGAGGAAAGGAAGUUUCAAUAGCCGAUUUCCAAACAUUUCAAUCCCAUGAUUCGGCUAUCCAACCCAAACUAGUAGUGCUCCAAAAUCAUCUAAGGGAAGAAGAAAUUCUACCUUUAGAAAUUCAUUUUGGGAUGAGCUUAAACUUCCUGCUUCAUAAGAGACCUUUGAGUGCAUAUAGUCUGAACCUUCCUAAGAGGGAUCUCUUAGAAAGCAUCUCAAAUCCAAUCCCUCUAAUGGACAUCUAGAAAGACUCAAGGAUGGCGUCUUAAGUGAUGCAAUAGAAGGAGAGCAAAGCCAUUUAGAAGACAAUCUCAUCUUCUCCCCUUCUACGCCCACUUUUGAUGACUCAUUCGAACCUAUCUUUAAACCCAUCCUUGAGCCUAAUAAUUUCUACUAUGCUCUUUCUCUUGAACCUCCCGAUGAUCAUACGAACCUCUCUAGACAUCCCAUGCAUAAGAGUCACCAAGACCAUAAGGAGGAUCGAGAAGAGCAACAUCAAUGGCUAGAGGGCAUUAAAAAUCCAUGUGCUAUCACCAUUGAAUGGAUGGACAAGGAAGAAGCCUUAAUGGAUGAGAUUCAAAUGGUGAGUUCUUGACUCCCUUUGAAGAUGAGAUUCAUCCAACUACAAAAGAGGACAUAGGUGAGAUUUCCAACCCCGUUUUCCUUUCUAUUUAUAAAAACUUUAAAAGGGCGGUUGUCGAUGCAUAUGUCUAUAAUAAAUAUUGUAGAUCUCGUUGAGUUGAUCUUGAUAUAGGUCAGCGUUGGAGGGGAAACCACUUCGCCGACAUAAAUUGAUGGUUUCCCAAGGACAAGCUUAGUAUCCUAAAAUAAGCACUGAUCGGAUCGUAACAUGAGCUUUUAAUUAUUUGCAACAUUACCUUGUGUAUUGAGUAUAUAAGGAUAAUUGUAAAAAUAUUCCUUCGGGUAUUCUUGUCACUAACCUUUCCAGGAUUGGAGCAAGAAGAUCGGAUGAAUGACAAGCACAAGGUAUGUCCAACCAAUCAUCACACAACAUUGAAUUAAAUUCAUCCAAACUUGAAUUUUGCAAAAUUCAAGCUUGGGUGAGUACUUUACAUAAAAACAUUCUUUGCCAUGUUGCUAUGUUGGUUGUCCCUACCUUUGAGACAUGCUUAAUUUGUUAAAUACUAAUCACACUACUUCAUCUCCACUUGAGUAGAUCUCUAUAAAUGCUCUCAUGCUACCUUUAUUUGCUUUAGUAUAUGUCUUGGUUUGGAGUAGUUUCAUUUAUCUCUUAAAUAAGCAUGGUGCUUAGUUUAGGAAUGAUGAUCAUACUUCCAAGGGAUUUUAAAUUAAGCAUGGUGCUUAGGUUAAAAUGCCCUCCUAAAUCAAAUUAGACAUGGUGUCUAGGUUGAUUUUUGAGCCGAUAGUAGGCUAUAGUAGAUAUUGGAUAUUUUGUUGGACUAACCCCUGUAGGAAACUUUCAAUAUCGACCUAGGAAGUCCUGAGAUAAACUCACACUAGAGAUAAAGAGAGAGACACAUGAAGUUUAACAAUUUACACAAGGAAGACAUAGCUCAUAAGAGAUGAUCCAUAGAGGGUGCCACAAACACGAAACACAAUCGCUGAGAAAGGAAAGAUUCCACAAGGAGAUACUGUACCAUCACUCUUCAAGUAAGGUAACAUCUUAAGGUACUUAACUAUCACUUUUAUAAGCUUCUCCUUGGUUCUGGCGUUCAGAAGAAUAAAGAGACAAACAUAAAUUAACCAACCCAAUUAAUUCAACAUGUUUAGACCUUUAAUCUUUGUUCUUAGUACUACCUUCAUGAUCCCACACUCCUAAUCAUAUAAGCUAAAAUGUUGCACACUCAAUCUUUGGAAGAUAUAUAUAAAAAAACAAACAAAAAACAUGAAUAUAGAUAGAUUAUCUUUCCAUUAGGUUGAGCGAUCUGAUCCGACAAAUGUUUUAAAUGCUACACUCAUGAUCUUAUUAUCCAUCAACUUUGUCUGGCUCACUAUGCUUAAGGUUAGAGAAGAACAAAUACACUUUUGGUUUUGUUGGUGUUUUCCACCAACAGGGCCCAUGCACUUGAUCUCUGCCUUGUCUCUAUGAGCAGGUACACUUCAAGCAAAACAUGGAGGAGUUUUACAACUCCCAGACUCCACCAAGUGAAGGACCUAGAUCUACGAGCACAAACACACUGAGCAGGAUAUUGCCAAUGCCGCACUUCGAACUGCUGGGCAAACGAAGAACAUAGUUGACACUGUAUCAAGAGGUGCAGACGUCAAGGUCCACACUUGGAUCAAAUGACGCACCUAAAGAAUGAACACGGUGAGAAGUCUUGUUCAGAAGACAUAAAACAUUGAACCCUCGCCGAAAGGUAAAAUCAGUAGUAAUCCAUAUUUAUCCUUUCUGCAUUUUUCCUUAAAUUAUUUACUUUCCUUAAAAAGCUUGUUUGUUAAUCAUCCUACCAUGAAAAGAAAUUAAAAAUGUUAAAAACAGUAAGCCUCAUGUGAGUAUGCUCGAGGCAUAAAACCCAUAAGUACAUUCACUGUGGUGGCGUAAAAAUAAAAUAUUCCAGUCUUAUAAAAAUGAAAAUAUAAAAUUAAAUUUAUGAUCCUACCAAAGAGAGUAACAUUUAUUGAGGAGGCUCAAUAUGAUAAAGGCUAGAUAUUUAUGCUAACAAUUAACCAGUUCCACAAAGCUUUGUUGUCUAUUUGAGCUCCACAGAAUUCAAGGAUCAAAGAAGACUAGCAAACGGAGGACAUGACAUCCUAAUCACUGUCAGGGUGCUACCGACAUUCAAAUACACCUCCACCACCUGCUAGCUACAUUAGAAGAAAUUAUGUCAAAAUCCAGCUUGGGGGAGAGCACCCCCAUUUAUCGAGCUAAGUGUUUCUACUCGCGUUUAUACUUUACUCAAAUAAUAAAAAAGAUGCAUAAUCAUAAAAACCGAAAUAAAGAUUUUGUGCUUUUAUAUAUAUCUUUGCUUAGUUUGCUAAAUAAAUAAAUAAAUAAAGUUUGCUAUGAACCCUCAUGAUAAACUCUUACAUGGAUAUGAUAAAUAGUUGCUCUGUCAUGUACCUAGUUUUCAAGUUUGAGCUCUCUCUUAAGUUUACGCAUAACUGUUAUAAUUUAAAUUUGCUCUAAACCUGAACUUGUGGGAAGAGUACCUGAUCAAAAGUCUAAGUCGUUAACGGAUAUGAUAUGGGAAGGUUGAGCUGCUGUUUAUCUAUUCCUAGAGAUACUAGAAUUCUGAUGAAUUUUAUCUUUGAAAAUCUUUAAAAUAUUGCAUGAUGAGUUCCUGUAUGAUGAGAGCUUAAAAUCCUACCACAGCCAUAUAUACAUGCUUAUUAGACUAUGAACCAUACAUUUACUUUUCACUGCUUAUGAGCAUUGAGUGUGGUCAAGCUGUGUAGAACCUUAGGAGCUUGUCAUACGGUUAAAAUCAAGAUUCACUUGCACGUUCACUCAUACAUGCUACUUCUACUUCGGAAGUACGCAUCCACAUACAUUCACUCAAUUCCAUCUUCAGAUUCACCUAAAAUUAUUUUACUCCUAUCCGGGAGAGAAUAGCCAAAAACUUUUUCCUAUCCCUGUUAUUCCCUGUGAAAUAAAUGCUCCAGUUAUUUUGGUUACUACCAGUUGCUACAUUAUUCUAGGAGGGUGAGUGCUCUAAAAAAAGAAGAAAAAAGAAAAAAAGAAGAAAAAUAUGAGGAAAUAAAAAGGGGAAAGUGCCUGGAACCUCGAAGAAAAGAAAAAGUGAGACGAGAGGUAAAAAAUGGACAAGUGUCCGAGAGUAGAAUUAGGGGUACAAGAUACCCACCUCAGAGAAAAGAAAAAGAAAAUAUAGAGCAUCUCAUUCUCCUCAAAAAAGCUUCAAACUGCAAGAAAGGUAUAUAUCCCCUAAAAAGAGCAAAACUAGAAUUAGACUUUCACAAUUGUUAUCACCAUCAUCACCAUACACCAUUCAUUCGCCACACAUGCACAUCUUGAUUUGACUUAUUGACUUGUUUCUCUAGAUCCAUGGUUUGACUAUGCAAUAAAUGUCUUGUAAGUAUGUAUGCUUUAUCUCCCACCUAUGAGCUCCAGAUAUCAAAACCCUAUUAGAGUAGGGAGAGAGAGAAGGCAAUAUCACUAUGCCUCAUACCAAAAAUACCACAUACUUUGAGAGAAGGCAUAUACCAUUACUGCCUUGGAAAGGAUCCAGAAAUACCACAAAAGAGAGAUUUGAGAAAGUCAUACAAGGAAUCUCUGAGUUUUAUUUGAAAAUCUACAAAAACUCCAGAGCUAUAGCUGAUCAAAGAACAAGAGACAUGGCGCUUGACUAGACUGUUCUAUCUUUUAACUGCUCAAGACACAAGUGACGGUUGCAAGCCCCAUGGUGAAAGGUAAAAUGAGUAAGUUUUAAGUCUUAACAGUUUACUCUAACUCAGAGAUGAGAUCUUGCUUGAAUGCAUGUGUACUUUUAAGGCAUGAAACCACUGCAGAAACUCUUGAGUCCAUCCUUGCUCAGGGACGAGCAAGAGGUAAGCUUGGGGGAGUUGUUGACGGUCCUUAAGUACCAAAUAUAAUCAUCAAAUAAAUAAAGAAAAGCAUCCAAAUGCAACCAACACCCAGACUUAGGGUUUUAUCUGACAGAAUUCCACAAGUUUUGGUGUUUGUCUAUUUCUGCAGGGGGUUAUCAGGAAAUAAUGAAAAAAUGCCCACACGUCGGGUUUACAUAGAGCUAUUAACAUGUCGUGCAAUUUUCUAUCAUCUAGAAGACUCCAGAAGCCACGAGAACGAACGGGAGACCGAUCGAGCCCGGGGGCAGGGCGCCCGCCCACCUCUAGUGGCCAAUCAGGGUGAAUCACGCGGAUUAUGCUCCACGGCCUUUAAGGAACAAGGAAAACCAUGCGAUUAAGGUUGGUUUGAUCCAACGGCCCACGUUCAUUUGGAGGGCCUAUAUAAGCUGGCCCCCUGGCCCCUGGAGGAGAGCAAUCCCCAUUAUUCAUUAGCAUAUUUUCUAGAGAGGAUUCAGAGAUAGAUGUUCCUUAGGGUUCCCACCUCAUAGGGCUUAGCAUCCAAUGUGAGAGUAGAAUUAUUUCUACUAGAUUGAGAGAGAUAGAGUGGAGGUGUAGAUCGGAGGAAGCUCGGUCUGUCGGUGUCUACUCCGAGGUUGUACCUGCGGGAUCAAGUCUCCUAACCCGAGGCUUGCUCCUAGGAUUCUUCAGUAUUUCGACUUUUAACUUCUAGUAAGUUCUUUGUUUUAUUGUUCUUUGGUUUAUGAGUUUACUUUGAUCUCUUCGCGUAGAGUUUAGAGUAAUCAUCUCUAGCAUAAACUUGGUUUUUAGGCUAGGAUACUCAUAGAUAUCCCGUGUCUAGCCGGACCGUGGUAGUAGCGAGGAACGUUACAUUUCCAAGUUACCUUUGUAGCCCAUAUUCCAUUAGCAGGAUCGAUAGGGUUUAUAGGUGCGGGUCGAACAUCCUCUGUGGUGUCUAGAUUCCAUUAGCCUCCCCAACAGAACAGUAGAUCAUCCAUACCAAGGUUAGAAUGAGAGUGCGGUUGUAGUCUUCUCUAUACAUCGCUCACAUCGAAUCACAUUGUUUGUAGCCUAAAGGGUAGUAGCAAUAGAUUUGGUUGGUCAGGUGCACGCUUUCUCCCAGUGGUAAAAAUAUAAAUACGAUACUCUGCAUAACCUCGUGGGUGAAGUGCUCACCGAUAUCCUGCGCUUGCGGAUCAUUUCCUCAUGGCAUUAACAAAUAUCAACAAGCAUUUCUGGCGCCGUUGCCGGGGAGAAAGACGGUUUGCUGAGAUAACUUUGAGUCUUGCUAUUAUCUUGUAUUAUACUUUUAUACUUUUAUUCUUUUAUCUUUUUAUUUUUUUCCAUCUUUAUGGAUAACUCAAAUUCCACACCUAUUAUUGAAUUCUUUGCACCUUCGGAGACCAGCCAUAGACCAUGGGAGUCAACAAGUCCUUUCUUUGCCCCUAAUUAUGAUCUGUGUCCAGAGUCAAUUGCGAUAGGUCAAAACCAACCCUUUUCUAUAGCCGAGGUCCUAUCUUUUAAUCAAGAAGAUAAUGAACUUUUAGCUAGACCUAGGGAAUCUUUUAAUCUUUCUAUAAAUUCUGGUUUAGACCUAGCCCUACAAGACCAUGUUUUUCCUCGAUAUUUUCACAUUAGUCUUAAUCAUAUAACCUUUGGUAGAGUUUUUCUUUCUUUAUCUAGUAAAGCAAGGUAUAUCUUCAUUCGUGGAUAUCCUUCUUGCACUAGUCUUCAUAAAAAAAUCCUAGAGAUAGAGAAGGAAUCAUCUCCCAAACGAGGAAAGGAAGUUUCAAUAGCCGAUUUCCAAACAUUUCAAUCCCAUGAUUCAGCUAUCCAACCCAAACUAGUUGUGCUCCAAAAUCAUCUAAGGGAAGAAGAAAUUCUACCUUUGGAAAUUCAUUUUGGGAUGAGCUUAAACUUCCUGCUUCAUAAGAGACCUUUGAGUGCAUAUAGUCUGAACCUUCCUAAGAGGGAUCUCUUAGAAAGCAUCUCAAAUCCAAUCCCUCUGAUGGAAAUCUAGAAAGACUCAAGGAUGGCGUCUUAAGUGAUGCAAUAGAAGGAAAGCAAACCCAUUUAGAAGACAAUCUCAUCUUCUCCCCUUCUACGCCCACUUUUGAUGACUUAUUUGAACCUAUCUUUAAACCCAUCCUUGAGCCUAAUAAUUUCUACUAUGCUCUUUCUCUUGAACCUCCCGAUGAUCAUAUGAACCUCUCUAGACAUCCCAUGCAUAAGAGUCACCAAGACCAUAAGGAGGAUCGAGAAGAGCAACAUCAAUGGCUAGAGGGCAUUAAAAAUCCAUGUGCUAUCACCAUUGAAUGGAUGGACAAGGAAGAAGCCUUAAUGGAU